rnacentral:tmRNA from 2 species
GGGGGCGACUGGUUUCGACAUGGUAGGUUUGAAGUGAGGAGCAGGCCGUGGUCUCCUCGCCACGCUAAACAGGGGUACCGUCAAGUUAAUUGGCAAAUCUUACAAUACUGGCCGUAUGGCCCUUGCUGCUUAAUUAAAUAGCAGCUCGUCAAUGCGGGAAACGCUCCCGAGCCCGCUGCGACGUCAUUCUUAGGGAGAUGCAUUCGAGCACGUAGUCGGUAUGGCUCGAAUAAAGACCGAACCGGCUAGGGGUUGCAACGCUUGUCUGAGAGCCGAGCACCCCCGAAACCCGAUCCCAGACUAAGCUUGUAGAGCCUGACCGGGAAUCUAGUAUGGACCGGAGUUCGAUUCUCCGCGCCUCCACCA